rnacentral:siRNA from 1 species
UCGGGUUGUUUGGGAAUGCA